UACGGAGGAUGCGAGCGUUAUCCGGAUUUAUUGGGUUUAAAGGGUGCGUAGGCGGCCGAGUAAGUCAGCGGUGAAAUUUUGCAGCUUAACUGUAACAGUGCCGUUGAUACUGCAUGGCUAGGAUUUGGUUGCUGUGGGUGGAAUGUGUGGUGUAGCGGUGAAAUGCUUAGAUAUCACACAGAAUAUCGAUUGCGAAGGCAGCUCACAAAGCCAAGAUUGACGCUGAGGCACGAAAGUGUGGGGAUCAAA
rnacentral:rRNA from 1 species